GACGAACGCUGGCGGCGUGCUUAACACAUGCAAGUCGAACGGAAAGGCCCUGCUUUUGUGGGGUGCUCGCGUGGCGAACGGGUGAGUAACACGUGAGUAACCUGCCCUUGACUUUGGGAUAACUUCAGGCAACUGGGGCUAAUACCGGAUAGGAGCUCCUGCUGCAUGGUGGGGGUUGGAAAGUUUCGGCGGUGGGGGCUGGACUCGCGGCUUAUCAGCUUGUUGGUGGGGUAGUGGCUUACCAAGGCUUUGACGGGUAGCCGGCCUGAGAGGGUGAACGGCCACAUUGGGACUGAGAUACGGACCAGAGUCCUACGGGAGGCAGCAGGGGGGAAUAUUGCACAAUGGGCGGAAGCCUGAUGCAGCAACGCCGCGUGCGGGAUGACGGCCUUCGGGGUGUAAACCGCUUUCGCCUGUGACGAAGCGUGAGUGACGGUAAUGGGUAAAGAAGCACCGGCUAACUACGUG
rnacentral:rRNA from 1 species